rnacentral:rRNA from 2 species
CUGAAAUGUUGACCUCGGAUCAGGUAGGAA